GACGAACGCUGGCGGCGUGCUUAACACAUGCAAGUCGAGCGGUAAGGCCCUUUCGGGGGUACACGAGCGGCGAACGGGUGAGUAACACGUGGGUGACCUGCCCUCAGCUCUGGGAUAAGCCUGGGAAACCGGGGUCUAAUACUGGAUAUGACUCCAUGACGCAUGUUGUGGGGUGGAAAGCCUUGUGCGGCUGAGGAUGGGCCCGCGGCCUAUCAGCUUGUUGGUGGGGUGAGGCCUACCAAGGCGACGACGGGUAGCCGGCCUCGAGAGGGCGACCGGCCACACUGGGACUGAGACACGGCCCAGACUCCUACGGGAGGCAGCAGUGGGGAAUCUUGCGCAAUGGGCGAAAGCCUGACGCAGCGACGCCGCGUGAGGGAUGAC
rnacentral:rRNA from 1 species